ACUGCAGGAGGAAACAGACUGCGAGUACUAGAGGAGAUGGGGCGGGAGGAGGAGAGGACUUUCCAGCAGAGCUCGGAGGGCGGGCGCUACAAGUCCGAGGCGGGGCAGGCAGACGGGAUUGGAGGAACCCGGGCAUUCGUGGGGCGUGUCCUGAAAAAGUGGAGAAGAAGUCUGCUGAACCUUGGGUGGGAAACUUGUCAAGAGCUUUUUGGAAGUCCAAGUAUACUAUGUCAACUGGAUCACUUUUAUCGACAUGCCUAUUGACACUCUCAAAGAACUCCAAAAGCUUCCUUUUUAUGAAUCUCCUCAUUUUUGAGAAGUUUUCUCUUCCGCAGUCCAAUGCAUCUGAGUUGGACUUCCUUGACAAUGCCCCGCUCGCAUAUAAGCUGAAUUGGAUCGCACUAUGGUCAUUCUUCCUCAAUGGUUCUACAAUUCGUGUUGACUUGCAUUUUGGCCGGUUUAUAAAUAUGUUAAAUAAAAUAAAAUAAAACUCUGACA